CCGUUGUCACACGCACAGCUGUUUAGUGAGAGCGAGACCACGUACUCGAUCCCGUUGUUCCACGCCGGCGACACCGCCGAGUGAGGUCAACGCACUAGACUUCGACGGGGGUCUCAUCACCUCCCAAUCCCCCCAAGUCUGAGAUCCCCGUCGAACCCCAGGCUUCAGCGGGGGGCUUAUCGAUGCAUCCCCACCCCAUCCCUCGAGAUAAGAUCCCCCGCUGGCCCUC
rnacentral:sRNA from 3 species